AGUGAACGCUGGCGGUAGGCCUAACACAUGCAAGUCGAACGGCAGCACAGUAAUAGCUUGCCCUUACGGGUGGCGAGUGGCGGACGGGUGAGGAAUACAUCGGAAUCUACUUUUUCGUGGGGGAUAACGUAGGGAAACUCACGCUAAUACCGCAUACGACCUACGGGUGAAAGCAGUUGAUCUUCGGUCCUUGCGCGAUUGAACGAGACGAUGUCGGGUUAGCUAGUUGGCGGGGUAAAGGCACACCAAGGCGACGCUCUGUAGCUGGUCAGAGAGGAUGAACAGACACAGUGGGAGUGGGACACGGUCCAGACUCCUACGGGGGGCCGCAGUGGAGAAUAUUGGGAGAUGGGCGCAGGCCUGAUCCAGCCAUACCGCGUGGGUGAAGGAGGCCUUCGGGUUGUGAAGCACUUUUGUUGGGAAAGAAGAACAGCAGGUUAAUGCGCAGAUGUUCUGACGGUACCCGAAGAAUAAGCACCGGCUAACUUCGUG
rnacentral:rRNA from 1 species